CCUACGGGGGGCAGCAGUGAGGAAUAUUGGUCAAUGGGCGUAAGCCUGAACCAGCCAAGUCGCGUGAGGGAUGAAGGUUCUAUGGAUCGUAAACCUCUUUUAUAUGGGAAUAAAGUGCGGGACGUGUCCCGUUUUGUAUGUACCUUAUGAAUAAGGAUCGGCUAACUCCGUGCCAGCAGCCGCGGUAAUACGGAGGAUCCGAGCGUUAUCCGGAUUUAUUGGGUUUAAAGGGUGCGUAGGCGGCCUUUUAAGUCAGCGGUGAAAGUCUUUGGCUCAACCAUAGAAUUGCCGUUGAAACUGGGAGGCUUGAGUAUGUUUGAGGCAGGCGGAAUGCGUGGUGUAGCGGUGAAAUGCUUAGAUAUCACGCAGAACCCCGAUGGCGAAGGCAGCCUGCUAAGUCAUGACUGACGCUGAUGCACGAAAGCGUGGGGAGCAAACAGGAUUAGAUACCCGUGUAGUC
rnacentral:rRNA from 1 species